GACGAACGCUGGCGGCGCGCCUAACACAUGCAAGUCGAACGAGCGAGAGAGAGCUUGCUCUCUUGAGCGAGUAGCGAACGGGUGAGUAACGCGUGAGGAACCUGCCUCAAAGAGGGGGACAACAGUUGGAAACGAAUGCUAAUAACGCAUAAGUCCUCGGUCCCGCAUGCCACGGAGGGAAAAGGAGCAAGCGGCUUUGAGAUGGCCUCGCGUCCGAUUAGCUAGUUGGUGAGGUAACGGCCCACCAAGGCGACGAUCGGUAGCCGGACUGAGAGGGUGAACGGCCACAUUGGGACUGAGACACGGCCCAGACUCCUACGGGAGGCAGCAGUGGGGAAUAUUGCACAAUGGGGGAAACCCUGAUGCAGCGACGCCGCGUGGAGGAAGAAGGUCUUCGGAUUGUAAACUCCUGUUGUUGGGGAAGAUAAUGACGGUACCCAACAAGGAAGUGACGGCUAACUACGUG
rnacentral:rRNA from 1 species